CUGAUCCAGCAAUGCCGCGUGAGUGAUGAAGGCCUUAGGGUUGUAAAGCUCUUUUACCCGGGAUGAUAAUGACAGUACCGGUAAGAAUAAGCCCCGGCUAACUCCGU
rnacentral:rRNA from 1 species